CUACGGGGGGCUGCAGUUAGGAAUAAUCUACAAUGCGCGCAAGCGUGAUAGUUUGAGCCAGAGUGCCUCUCAAUGAGAGGCUUUUGUGAAAUCUAAAAAGUUUUACGAAUAAGGACUGGGUAAGACUAGUGCCAGCCGCCGCGGUAAUACUAGCGGUCCAAGUCGCAGCCACAUUUAUUGAGUCUAAAACAUCCGUAGCUUGCUUAAUAAGUUCCUUGUGAAAUUCCAUCUCUCAAGGGUGGAGCGCGCAAGAAGUACUGUUAAGCUAGAGACUGGAAGACGUAGAAAGUACGUUCAAAGUAGUGGUAAAAUACGUUAAUCUUGAACGGACUAACAAGAGCGAAGGCAUUCUACGAGGACAGUUCUGACAGUAAGGGAUGAAAGCUAGGGGCGCAAAACGGAUUAGAUACCCUUGUAGUC
rnacentral:rRNA from 1 species